CACAGAAACAUCAGUGCCGCUCUUGACAACUGGCUGAAGCUUGUUCUUAGCAGACUUCUUGGGAAUACAAGCAAGGCAUUAUCUAUAAAAUUCAGUGAUGCGCAUGGAUGGGCGGAUGCCUCGCUGCACUAUCAACUCAAAACCCAAAUGCCCAUGUCAAAUAACAUUAUAGCUGCGGCCAUCCUCACCUCCCAGAGUCCCUUCUUGUAUUUGAAGCACCUGCUUUCAGUCAGUGGUUUUCAGGCCCAAUUUGAUUCAUUUCCAUUGCUUAUGAGGAUCACCAGUCUGAACUUCUCAGAGGAUCUUUCCAAGCG